rnacentral:rRNA from 1 species
AGAGUUUGAUCAUGGCUCAGGACGAACGCUGGCGGCGCGCUUAACACAUGCAAGUCGAGCGAGAACCAUCCUUCGGGAUGGGGACAGCGGCGAACGGGUGAGUAACACGUGGGUAAUCUGCCCUCGGCAUCGGGAUAGCCCGGGGAAACCCGGAUUAAUACCGGAUAGCCUCUCCGGUCUGCGGACUGGAAAGAAAAGGUAGCUUCGGCCUCUGGCCGAGGAGGAGCCCGCGGCGGAUUAGCUUGUUGGCGGGGUAAUGGCCCACCAAGGCGACGAUCCGUAGCUGGUCUGAGAGGACGAUCAGCCACACUGGGACUGAGACACGGCCCAGACUCCUACGGGAGGCAGCAGUGGGGAAUCUUGCGCAAUGGGCGAAAGCCCGACGCAGCGACGCCGCGUGUGGGAAGAAGGCCUUCGGGUUGUAAACCACUUUCAGGGGGGACGAAGCUACUCGGGUUAAUAGCCCAGAGGGUGACGGUACCUUCAGAAGAAGCCCCGGCUAACUACGUGCCAGCAGCCGCGGUAAUACGUAGGGGGCAAGCGUUGUCCGGAUUUAUUGGGCGUAAAGAGCGUGUAGGCGGCCUGGAAGGUCAGCUGUGAAAACUCGAGGCUCAACCUCGAGACGUCGGUUGAAACCACCUGGCUAGAGUCCGGAAGAGGAGAAUGGAAUUCCCGGUGUAGCGGUGAAAUGCGCAGAUAUCGGGAAGAACACCCGUGGCGAAGGCGGUUCUCUGGGACGGUACUGACGCUGAGACGCGAAAGCGUGGGGAGCGAACAGGAUUAGAUACCCUAGUAGUCC